UUAAACGACAAGUGGGCCGUGGUUUGGUAAGCAGAUCAGGCAAAGCGAAUUCAAUCGUAAGUUAAUUUAAUGUUAACUAAGUAAUCCUUUAGUCUAGCUCAAAAGGUAUUGAUAUGUGAAGACAAUUGGUUGAUGGCCAUGGAAGUCGGCAUUCACUAAGAAGUGUGUAACAACUUACCAAUCGAAUGUAUUAGUCCUGAAAAUUAA
rnacentral:rRNA from 1 species